UACGGAGGUCUCAAGCGUUGUUCGGAUUCAUUGGGCGUAAAGGGUGCGUAGGUGGCGCCAUAAGUCAGGUGUGAAAUCUCGGGGCUCAACCCCGAAACUGCACUUGAUACUGUGGUGCUGGAGUACUGGAGAGGAGAUUGGAAUUUACGGUGUAGCAGUGAAAUGCGUAGAUAUCGUAAGGAAGACCAGUGGCGAAGGCGAAUCUCUGGACAGUUACUGACACUGAGGCACGAAGGCCAGGGGAGCAAACGGG
rnacentral:rRNA from 1 species